GAAAUUGGACAAUGGGGGGCACCCUGAUCCAGCCAUGCCGCGUGUGUGAAGAAGGUCNNNGGAUUNUAAAGCACUAUCAGUUGNGGGNAAGAGUUGUCGGCUAGUACCUUGCAAUGCUGGCGUUGCCAACAGAAUACGCGCCGGCUAACUUCGUGCCAGCAGCCGCGGUAAUACGAAGGGUGCAAGCGUUAAUCGGAAUUACUGGGCGUAAAGCGCGCGUAGGUGGUACGUUAAGUUGGAAGUGAAAGCCCCGGGCUUAACCUGGGAAUUGCUUUCAAAACUGACGAGCUAGAGGACGGUAGCGGGUAGUGGAAUUUCCUGGGUAGCGGUGAAAUGCGUAGACAUAGGAAGGAACAUCAGUGGCGAAGGCGACUACUUGGACUGAUACUGACACUGAGGUGCGAAAGCGUGGGGAGCAAACA
rnacentral:rRNA from 1 species